rnacentral:rRNA from 1 species
AUUGAACGCUGGCGGCAGGCCUCACACAUGCAAGUCGAGCGGAGCGGCGGACGGGUGAGUAAUGCCUAGGAAUAUGCAUGGUAGUGGGGGAUAACGUACGGAAACGGGCGCUAAUACCGAAUACUAUCAGAUGAGCCUAGGUCGGAUUAGCUAGUUGGUGGGGUAAAGGCCUACAAGGGCGAAGAUCCGUAACUGGUCUGAGAGGAUGAUCAGUCACACUGGAACUGAGACACGGUCCAGACUCCUACGGGCGGAAGCAGUGGGGAAGAUUGGACAAUGGGCGAAAGCCUGAUCCAGCCAUGCCGCGUGUGGGAAGAAGUUCUUCGGAUUGUAAAGCACUUUAAGUUGGGAGGCGUUACCAACAGAAUAAGCACCGGCUAACUUCGUGCCAGCGGCCGCGGUAAUUC